UGCAAGUCGAGCGGCAGCGACAACAUUGACCCUUCGGGUGAUUUGUUGGGCGGCGAGCGGCGGACGGGUGAGUAAUGCCUGGGAAUAUGCCCUGAUGUGGGGGAUAACCAUUGGAAACGAUGGCUAAUACCGCAUAAUCUCUUCGGAGCAAAGAGGGGGACCUUCGGGCCUCUCGCGUCAGGAUUAGCCCAGGUGAGAUUAGCUUGUUGGUGAGGUAAGAGCUCACCAAGGCAACGAUCUCUAGCUGGUCUGAGAGGAUGAUCAGCCACACUGGAACUGAGACACGGUCCAGACUCCUACGGGAGGCAGCAGUGGGGAAUAUUGCACAAUGGGGGAAACCCUGAUGCAGCCAUGCCGCGUGUAUGAAGAAGGCCUUCGGGUUGUAAAGUACUUUCAGUUGUGAGGAAGGCGUUGUCGUUAAUAGCGGCAGUGUUUGACGUUAGCAACAGAAGAAGCACCGGCUAACUCCGUGCCAGCAGCCGCGGUAAUACGGAGGGUGCGAGCGUUAAUCGGAAUUACUGGGCGUAAAGCGCAUGCAGGCGGCUUGUUAAGCCAGAUGUGAAAGCCCGGGGCUCAACCUCGGAAUAGCAUUUGGAACUGGCAGGCUAGAGUCUUGUAGAGGGGGGUAGAAUUUCAGGUGUAGCGGUGAAAUGCGUAGAGAUCUGAAGGAAUACCGGUGGCGAAGGCGG
rnacentral:rRNA from 1 species